rnacentral:rRNA from 1 species
AUUGAACGCUGGCGGCAGGCCUAACACAUGCAAGUCGAGCGGUAACACAGGGAGCUUGCUCCUGGGUGACGAGCGGCGGACGGGUGAGUAAUGUCUGGGAAACUGCCUGAUGGAGGGGGAUAACUACUGGAAACGGUAGCUAAUACCGCAUAACGUCGCAAGACCAAAGAGGGGGACCUUCGGGCCUCUUGCCAUCAGAUGUGCCCAGAUGGGAUUAGCUAGUAGGUGGGGUAAUGGCUCACCUAGGCGACGAUCCCUAGCUGGUCUGAGAGGAUGACCAGCCACACUGGAACUGAGACACGGUCCAGACUCCUACGGGAGGCAGCAGUGGGGAAUAUUGCACAAUGGGCGCAAGCCUGAUGCAGCCAUGCCGCGUGUAUGAAGAAGGCCUUCGGGUUGUAAAGUACUUUCAGCGGGGAGGAAGGUGUUGAGGUUAAUAACCUCAGCAAUUGACGUUACCCGCAGAAGAAGCACCGGCUAACUCCGUGCCAGCCGCCGCAGUAAAAC